rnacentral:lncRNA from 1 species
UGGCGGUGAUGCUCAUCUUAGUGGUGCUGGUAUGCCAGCCACAAGCUCUAUGGAGAAGCAAGAGGCAGAACCUCCUGCAGCAACACAAGCACCAACUCCCAAGGGUUUACAAGACACUGCAAAUAUCAAGUCACCAAGACAAACCUCAACUGAUCAAACCGUGACACCUGCGAUGAACUCAGCAGCACCGUCCAAUGCUCCUGAAGGUAUUGAACCAGGUGAGGCAAUGCCUGAUAAACAGAAAUUCACCCGACUAUUAAUUUCAGGUUAAUAUUCAGUAUGCAUAGUUCUGCUGCUAAUAAGGUUGUUCCUCACAUACAGGUCCAGAUUCUUCUCGAUCUGUACAGACCCCUUUCUCUACUGAGCCAACAAAAGAAGACACUAUUGCUACUGCAGGUGAUCAAGCCGAGGACAUGCAAACAGUGACUCAACAACAAGCCAUUACACCUGCUCCAGACACAGCUAAACCUACAUUCCCAGGUGCUCAGGAUGCAUCAAUGAAGUUUCAGGAAAGUAUUCCUGAUGAUGGGCCAGUGGAAAAUUAUUCUCCUAAGCCUGCAACACAGACACAGCCACCUUUAGCAACUCUAGAUGUAUCACCGGAUGCCUCAAGCAAGGCUAAAUCAACUGGGCAAGGAUCCAAGCCACCAACAAGGUACCAAGCAUCUUCUCCGGAAACUCAGCUUGGUUCCUCACAAACACAAGGUGAAGCUGCCCCAGCAGAACAAAAAUUUGCUGCAACAGGUAAUGUUUUAGUACGUUUCCUGUUGGUUAACUAAUGGCGCGCCUUUGUUUCUGGUUUAGUAGUACAAAAAGGAAUACUAAAAUAGAACUACCCUGCCACAUCUGAGGUUGUUUCUUUCAUUUCAGAUGAAAAAUCUGCCAAUGCCUCAAAAUCAUUUGCCUCUGCUGAACCAAGGGAAGAAGAUGCCGAUGCUGCCAUUGCUGAUCAAACGAGUGUACCACCGACAAAGGUUACCCGUCAGGUCACAAGCUCAACACCAGAUGCUAGUGACGCUUUAUCAAGAGAUCAGGAAUCUUCUCCAGACGAUUGUCAGAUCAGAAAUUUGGGAAGCCCAGUUAUCGCUAGCCAAGAAGACGCCUCUCGUGCUGGACGUGCUUCUGAAGGAUCUACUCCUAAAGUGCAUAGUGCCGUGGUAGAUGAGAAGAGGACACUUCCAUCUAGCCAGGCACAAACUUCAAGCACUGGGCCUGAUUCAGGACAAAUUGGCGGUGAUGCUCAUCUUAGUGGUGCUGGUAUGCCAGCCACAAGCUCUAUGGAGAAGCAAGAGGCAGAACCUCCUGCAGCAACACAAGCACCAACUCCCAAGGGUUUACAAGACACUGCAAAUAUCAAGUCACCAAGACAAACCUCAACUGAUCAAACCGUGACACCUGCGAUGAACUCAGCAGCACCGUCCGAAGCUCCUGAAGGUAUUGAACCAG